rnacentral:tRNA from 1 species
GGAAGGGUGGCAGAGUGGUUGAAUGUACCGCCCUGGAAAGGCGGCGUGUCCAAUAGGGCACCGAGGGUUCGAAUCCCUCCCCUUCCG